UACGAAGGGUGCAAACGUUGUUCGGAAUUACUGGGCGUAAAGGGCGCGUAGGCGGCCUUCUAAGUCAGACGUGAAAUCCCCCGGCUUAACCUGGGAACUGCGUCUGAUACUGGAUGGCUUGAGUAUGGGAGAGGGAUGUAGAAUUCCAGGUGUAGCGGUGAAAAUGCGUAGAUAUCUGGAGGAAUACCGGUGGCGAAGGCGGCAUCCUGGGACCAUUACUGACGCUGAGGCGCGAAAGCUAGGGGAGCAAACGGGG
rnacentral:rRNA from 1 species